AUUGAACGCUGGCGGCAGGCCUAACACAUGCAAGUCGAGCGAGCGGCGGACGGGUGAGUAAUGCCUGGGAAUAUGCCUUAGUGUGGGGGAUAACUAUUGGAAACGAUAGCUAAUACCGCAUACGCUAAGCUUAGCCCAGGUGAGAUUAGCUAGUUGGGGAGGUCAGAGCUCACCAAGGCGACGAUCUCUAGCUGGUCUGAGAGGAUGAGCAGCCACACUGGAACUGAGACACGGUCCAGACUCCUACGGGAGGCAGCAGUGGGGAAUAUUGCACAAUGGGCGAAAGCCUGAUGCAGCCAUGCCGCGUGUAUGAAGAAGGCCUUCGGGUUGUAAAGUACUUUCAGUAGGGAGGCGUUACCUACAGAAGAAGCACAGGCUAACGCCGUGCCAGCAGCCGCGGUAAUUC
rnacentral:rRNA from 1 species